rnacentral:rRNA from 1 species
GACGAACGCUGGCGGCGUGCCUAAUACAUGCAAGUCGAACGAGAGCGACCGGUGCUUGCACUGGUCAAUCUAGUGGCGAACGGGUGAGUAACACGUGGGUAACCUACCCAUCAGAGGGGGAUAACAUCCGGAAACGGAUGCUAAAACCGCAUAGGUCUUCGAACCGCAUGGUUUGAAGAGGAAAAGAGGCGCAAGCUUCUGCUGAUGGAUGGACCCGCGGUGCAUUAGCUAGUUGGUGAGGUAACGGCUCACCAAGGCCGUGAUGCAUAGCCGACCUGAGAGGGUGAUCGGCCACAUUGGGACUGAGACACGGCCCAAACUCCUACGGGAGGCAGCAGUAGGGAAUCUUCCGCAAUGGACGCAAGUCUGACGGAGCAACGCCGCGUGAGUGAAGAAGGUUUUCGGAUCGUAAAACUCUGUUGUUAGAGAAGAACAAGUGCUAGAGUAACUGUUAGCGCCUUGACGGUAUCUAACCAGAAAGCCACGGCUAACUACGUG